rnacentral:rRNA from 1 species
GACGAACGCUGGCGGCGUGCUUAACACAUGCAAGUCGAACGAGAAUCAAUGGAAAGAGACUUCGGUCAAUGGAAGUUGAGGACAGUGGCGGACGGGUGAGUAACGCGUGAGGAACCUGCCUUUCAGAGGGGGACAACAGUUGGAAACGACUGCUAAUACCGCAUAACGCAUAGGUAUCGCAUGGUACAUAUGCCAAAGAUUUAUCGCUGAAAGAUGGCCUCGCGUCUGAUUAGCUAGUUGGUGAGGUAACGGCUCACCAAGGCGACGAUCAGUAGCCGGACUGAGAGGUUGGCCGGCCACAUUGGGACUGAGAUACGGCCCAGACUCCUACGGGAGGCAGCAGUGGGGAAUAUUGGGCAAUGGGCGCAAGCCUGACCCAGCAACGCCGCGUGAAGGAAGAAGGCUUUCGGGUUGUAAACUUCUUUUGUCAGGGAAGAGUAGAAGACGGUACCUGACGAAUAAGCCACGGCUAACUACGUGCCAGCAGCCGCGGUAAAAC